UUCGCAAUGCCCGAAAGGGUGACGAAGCGACGCCGCGUGGGUGAGGAAGGCCUUCGGGUUGUAAAGCCCUGUCAGGAGUUAAGAAAUGUAGACUCGCUAAUAUCGGGUCUAUUUGACAAAGGCUCCAAAGGAAGCCACGGCUAACUCUGUGCCAGCAGCCGCGGUAAUACAGAGGUGGCAAGCGUUGUUCGGAAUUAUUGGGCGUAAAGAGCACGUAGGUGGAUUUGUAAGUCAAACGUGAAAGCCUUCUGUUCAACGGAAGAAUUGCAUCUGAAACUACAAACCUUGAGUGUAGGAGGGGAGAAUGGAACUUCUGGUGGAGCGGUGAAAUGCGUAGAUAUCAGAAGGAACGCCGGCGGCGAAAGCGAUUCUCUGGCCUAUUACUGACACUCAGUGUGCGAAAGCUAGGGGAGCAAACGGGAUUAGAUACCCCGGUAGUCCUAGCCGUAAACGAUGGGCACUAAGUAGAGGGGUUUU
rnacentral:rRNA from 1 species